CGGCAGCGCGGGAGCAAUCCUGGCGGCGAGUGGCGAACGGGUGAGUAAUAUAUCGGAACGUGCCCAUUAGUGGGGGAUAGCCCGGCGAAAGCCGGAUUAAUACCGCAUACGACCUGAGGGUGAAAGCAGGGGACCGCAAGGCCUUGCGCGUUUGGAGCGGCCGAUGGCAGAUUAGGUAGUUGGUGGGAUAAAAGCUUACCAAGCCGACGAUCUGUAGCUGGUCUGAGAGGACGACCAGCCACACUGGGGCUGAGACACGGCCCAGACUCCUACGGGAGGCAGCAGUGGGGAAUUUUGGACAAUGGGCGAAAGCCUGAUCCAGCAAUGCCGCGUGCAGGAUGAAGGCCUUCGGGUUGUAAACUGCUUUUGUACGGAACGAAAAGGCUCUGGCUAAUACCUGGGGCACAUGACGGUACCGUAAGAAUAAGCACCGGCUAACUACGUGCCAGCAGCCGCGGUAAU
rnacentral:rRNA from 1 species